rnacentral:pre_miRNA from 1 species
UACAUACUCCCUCCGUCCGGAAAUACUUGUCAUCAAGAUGAAUAAAAGGGGAUGUAUCUAGAUGUAUUUUAGUUCUAGAUACACCCCUUUUUAUCCAUUUUGAUGACAAGUAU